rnacentral:tRNA from 1 species
AGGGAUAUAGCUCAGUGACAUAGCACCUGCUUGGCAAGUACAAGGUCUUGAGUUCGAUUCUCAAUGCUUCCC